CCUACGGGAGGCAGCAGUGGGGAAUAUUGCACAAUGGGGGCAACCCUGACCCAGCGACGCCGCGUGAGUGAAGAAGGCUUUCGGUUUGUAAACUUCUUUUCUCAGGGAAGAAAAUCAUGACAGUUCCUCAAGAAUCCGCGGCUACUAACUACGUACCCGCCGCGGCGGUACUACGUAGGGGGCAAGCGUUAUCCGGAUGUAUUGGGUGUAAGGGGAGCGUAGGCGGGAAGGCAAGUCAGAGGUGAAAGGUCAGGGCUCAACCCUGAGACUGCUCUUGAAACUGGUAGGAUUGAGUGCUGGAGAGGUAAGUGGAAUUCCGAGUGUAGCGGUGAAAUGCGUAGAUAUAAGGAGGAACACCAGUGGCGAAGGCGGAUUGCUGGACAGUAACUGACGUUGAGGCUCGAAAGCGUGGGGAGCAAACAGGAUUAGAUACCCCAGUAGUC
rnacentral:rRNA from 1 species